UACGUAGGGGGCUAGCGUUGUCCGGAAUCAUUGGGCGUAAAGCGCGCGUAGGCGGCCCGGUAAGUCCGCUGUAAAAGUCAAAGGCUCAACCUUUGAAUGUCAGUGGAUACUGCCGGGCUAGAGUCCGGAAGAGGCGAGUGGAACUCCUGGUGUAGCGGUGGAGUGCGCAGAUAUCAGGAAGAACACCGACGGCGAAGGCAGCUCGCUGGGACGGUACUGACGCUGAGGCGCGAAAGCGUGGGGAGCGAACAGG
rnacentral:rRNA from 1 species